GACGAACCGUGCAAACGUUAUUCGGAAUCACUGGGCUUAAAGCGCGUGUAGGCGGGCCGCCACGUCGGCUGCUGAAAUCCCCCGGCUCAACCGGGGAAGUGGCACCGAUACGAGCGGCCUCGAGGGGGGUAGGGGGGUCUGGAACUUCCGGUGGAGCGGUGAAAUGCGUUGAGAUCGGAAGGAACGCCCGUGGCGAAAGCGAGGCCCUGGACCCUUACUGACGCUGAGACGCGAAAGCCAGGGGAGCGAACGGG
rnacentral:rRNA from 1 species